ACCCUUUUGUGGUUUAUACAUGUGACGAUUGGGUUUUCACACUCACAUAUGAGAUGUGCCUCCCUCCAACAUUGUUAUGAUGUCAGCACAUUACCCAUCUGACA
ensembl:snoRNA